UCUCGUCGUCACGUCCUGGUCGGCGACGGAUCCGGUCUUCCCUUGGGCCCCCACUACCACACCGCCUCCCUCCCCCGCCGCUGCCGGACUCCCUCCCUCCAUCGUGGUUGCCAACACGGCACCCCACCCGCCUAUACUCGUCCGUCGUCCCCCUCCCCAAUGAACUUGCUCCGACCACCCACCCAUCGACUGUCUCGACUCGCCUAGAUUCUACCGGAGGCUUCGCGAGCCUCGAUCCGGUCCGGCUGCCGCGAAUGCCGGCGGAUUCAUCAGGGGAAGGAGCGACCAUGAGCAAGUUCUUCGAGGGCUACGCAGGGCAGUACUACGAGAUCUCCGCUGCCCACUCCCGCAAGUGUGCCGCCGCCUCCACCGUCGAUGACGAGAAGAAGGGACAGAAGCUGUCUGAGAUCCACGCCGGCGAGUAGGAGUCUGAAUCGUUGCUCUCCGAUGAAUCGCUGGAGCAGUCCACACAACAUGCACAUGCGGCCAUCGACGACUCCCUAUGAAGUGCACUUGCAGGCGCCGACUCUUCCAUCUUCAAAAUUCGUUGGUAGCCACCGGAGAUGGUCUAGUCCAGGUCGGCUGGGUGGCCCCGGGGUUCACACUUUGUUCACAAUGGUUUGUGCAGUGUGCUUGGUUUUGUGGCCAGUAGCUAUUGGAUUUUUAUUGUAAAAUAAUCGCUGAAGUGCUUCUGGGUCUGGAUGUCGCAGCCGUGCAGUUUGGUAGUGCCCCAUUGCCCCAUUGCAGUUUGGUAUUACUUUUCUUGCAGAUAGGUGUCUCAGUGUAGUUUGGCUCGAUCGGCAAUGCAGUUCGUCUGGUUCGUGGAUGCAGGUUUCUGUGUGUUAAAUAAUGAUAUGUGUAGAUUGCAGGGACUUGUUUUGUAAGAAAAUGUUACCCGAGAUGCAGUUCAUUUUAAAAUUCCUUUGUGGUUCAUUUUGUAAAACGAGAAAAAAAAGAAAAAAAAGGAAUGGAUAUGUAUGUUUCGAAGCUCA